UAACACCAGCCCCUCGAGUGGUGGGGAUGAUUAUUGGGCCUAAAGCGUCCGUAGCCUGCCGAAUAAGUCUUCCGUUAAAUCCAGCGUCUCAAGCGUUGGACUGCGGGAAAUACUGUACGGCUAGAGAGUGGGAGAGGUCAGCGGUAUUCUGGGGGUAGGGGCGAAAUCCUUUGAUCCCCGGAGGACCACCAGUGGCGAAGGCUGCUGUCUAGAACACGUCUGACGGUCAAGGACGAAAGCUGGGGUAGCGAACCGGAUUAGAUACCCGGGUAGUCCCAGCCGUAAACGAUGCAUGCUAGGUGUUGGGUUGGCCACGAGCCACCCCAGUGCCGCAGGGAAGCCGUUAAGCAUGCCGCCUGGGAAGUACGAUCGCAAGGUUG
rnacentral:rRNA from 1 species